rnacentral:rRNA from 1 species
GAUGAACGCUGGCGGCGUGCCUAAUACAUGCAAGUCGAGCGAACGGACGAGAAGCUUGCUUCUCUGAUGUUAGCGGCGGACGGGUGAGUAACACGUGGAUAACCUACCUAUAAGACUGGGAUAACUUCGGGAAACCGGAGCUAAUACCGGAUAAUAUUUUGAACUGCAUGGUUCAAAAGUGAAAGACGGUCUUGCUGUCACUUAUAGAUGGAUCCGCGCUGCAUUAGCUAGUUGGUAAGGUAACGGCUUACCAAGGCAACGAUGCAUAGCCGACCUGAGAGGGUGAUCGGCCACACUGGAACUGAGACACGGUCCAGACUCCUACGGGAGGCAGCAGUAGGGAAUCUUCCGCAAUGGGCGCAAGCCUGACGGAGCAACGCCGCGUGAGUGAUGAAGGUCUUCGGAUCGUAAAACUCUGUUAUUAGGGAAGAACAUAUGUGUAAGUAACUGUGCACAUCUUGACGGUACCUAAUCAGAAAGCCACGGCUAACUACGUG